rnacentral:rRNA from 1 species
AUUGAACGCUGGCGGCAUGCCUAACACAUGCAAGUCGAACGGAGGUAGGGGCAACUCUACUUCAGUGGCGGACGGGUGAGGAAUGCGUCGGAAUCUACCCUAUGGUGGGGGAUAACACAGGGAAACUUGUGCUAAUACCGCAUAAUGUCGAGAGACCAAAGCAGGGGACCGCAAGGCCUUGCGCGAUAGGAUGAGCCGACGCCCGAUUAGCUUGUUGGUAGGGUAAUGGCCUACCAAGGCGACGAUCGGUAGCUGGUCUGAGAGGAUGAUCAGCCACACUGGGACUGAGACACGGCCCAGACUCCUACGGGAGGCAGCAGUGGGGAAUAUUGGACAAUGGGCGCAAGCCUGAUCCAGCAAUGCCGCGUGUGUGAAGAAGGCCUGCGGGUUGUAAAGCACUUUUGUUCGGGAAGAAAUCAAUGCUGGUUAAUACCUGGUAUGAUGACGGUACCGAAAGAAUAAGCACCGGCUAAC